AUGGAGGUAGAGGAAGAUUCAACAUUUGAUGGCAGAGUGUCUUUGACAAAGUUACAGGAUCAAAAUUGAAAGGAGAGCUUUUGGAUUACAUGCUAGCCAAGCUAAUGCUGACUUCUGUUCAGAGAAAAUUUGGAUAUUUAUUCUUUACACUGAAGAUCCCGACUUCCAUUACACAGGUGCAGAUGGGAAAUCAGAAAAUAUAUUCAAAAGCAUUUUAAUUUUAAACAUAUGCACUUGAUUGUUUACUAUAGAUAUUCUCUGAGUUUGAAAAAGCAUAAAGGCUCAACCAAGAUACCGCAAAAAUACCAAGCAAAAAGCAAGAAAGCCCUUGCCAGAUACUGGCCUCUCAAUCUUGGACUCCUCAGCCCCCCAUAACUGUGAGCCAAUAAAUUUAUGUUCAUUAUCAA
ensembl:lncRNA LINC02155 long intergenic non-protein coding RNA 2155